rnacentral:ncRNA from 1 species
AAGAGCUAUGAAGCGAGAGAUUGCAGCCUUUUGCGCUGGGAACUCCGUGGAGCAAAUGUCAAGUCUAGAUACUGGCGA